rnacentral:rRNA from 1 species
UAGCCAUGCUAGUUGCACGAGUUUAGACUCGUGGCGAAAAGCUCAGUAACACGUGGUCAAACUACCCUACGAAGACCCAUAACCUCGGGAAACUGAGGCUAAUAGGUCAUAGGUGAGUUACGCUGGAAUGCCAACUCUCCCAAACGCUCAGGCGUCGUAGGAUGUGGCUGCGGCCGAUUAGGUAGACGGUGGGGUAACGGCCCACCGUGCCGAUAAUCGGUACGGGUUGUGAGAGCAAGAGCCCGGAGACGGAAUCUGAGACAAGAUUCCGGGCCCUACGGGGCGCAGCAGGCGCGAAACCUUUACACUGCACGCAAGUGCGAUAAGGGGACCCCAAGUGCGAGGGCAUAUAGUCCUCGCUUUUUCCGACCGUAAGGUGGUCGGCGAAUAAGGGCUGGGCAAGACCGGUGCCAGCCGCCGCGGUAAUACCGGCAGCCCAAGUGAUGACCGAUAUUAUUGGGCCUAAAGCGUCCGUAGCCGGCCACGAAGGUUCAUCGGGAAAUCCGCCAGCUCAACUGGCGGGCGUCCGGUGAAAACCACGUGGCUUGGGACCGGAAGGCUCGAGGGGUACGUCCGGGGUAGGAGUGAAAUCCCGUAAUCCUGGACGGACCACCGAUGGCGAAAGCACCUCGAGAAGACGGAUCCGACGGUGAGGGACGAAAGCUAGGGUCUCGAACCGGAUUAGAUACCCGGGUAGUCCUAGCUGUAAACGAUGCUCGCUAGGUGUGGCACAGGCUACGAGCCUGUGCUGUGCCGUAGGGAAGCCGAGAAGCGAGCCGCCUGGGAAGUACGUCCGCAAGGAUGAAACUAAAGGAAUG